rnacentral:rRNA from 1 species
CCUACGGGAGGCAGCAGUGGGGAAUAUUGGACAAUGGGCGAAAGCCUGAUCCAGCAAUGCCGCGUGAGUGAUGAAGGCCUUAGGGUUGUAAAGCUCUUUUACCCGGGAUGAUAAUGACAGUACCGGGAGAAUAAGCUCCGGCUAACUCCGUGCCAGCAGCCGCGGUAAUACGGAGGGAGCUAGCGUUAUUCGGAAUUACUGGGCGUAAAGCGCACGUAGGCGGCUUUGUAAGUAAGAGGUGAAAGCCUGGUGCUCAACACCAGAACUGCCUUUUAGACUGCAUCGCUUGAAUCCAGGAGAGGUGAGUGGAAUUCCGAGUGUAGAGGUGAAAUUCGUAGAUAUUCGGAAGAACACCAGUGGCGAAGGCGGCUCACUGGACUGGUAUUGACGCUGAGGUGCGAAAGCGUCGGGGAGCAAACAGGAUUAGAUACCCUGGUAGUCCACGCCGUAAACGAUGAUAACUAGCUGUCGGGGCUCUUAGAGCUUCGGUGGCGCNGCUACGCAUAGUUAGUCCGCCGUCGGGAGGUACGGCCGCGAACGGUUAAACGUAACGUAAGUAAGUUAGUUAGUCGUUGAGAGNGCGACGACGACGACGAGGAGGAGGAG